UGUUGAAAGGGAAGCGCUUGCAACCAGACCUGCCUGCAGCUGCUCAUCCGGGCUUUUGCCCGGUGCACUCUUCUGCUGUCAGGCCAGCAUCGGUUCGGGCGGUCGGAUAAAGGCUUCGGGAAUGUAGCUCCUCUCGAGGAGUGUUAUAGCCCGUUGCGAAAUGCGGCCAGCCUGAACUGAGGUCCGCGCUUCGGCUAGGAUGCUGGCGUAAUGGUUGUAAGCGGCCCGUCUUGAAACACGGACCAAGGAGUCUAACAUCUGUGCGAGUGUUUGGGUGUCAAACCCGUACGCGUAAUGAAAGUGAACGGAGGCGGGAACCCCUCGGGGUGCACCGUCGACCGAUCCUGAUGUCUUCGGAUGGAUUUGAGUAAGAGCAUAGCUGUUGGGACCCGAAAGAUGGUGAACUAUGCCUGAAUAGGGUGAAGCCAGAGGAAACUCUGGUGGAGGCUCGCAGCGGUUCUGACGUGCAAAUCGAUCGUCAAAUUUGGGCAUAGGGGCGAAAGACUAAUCGAACUAUCUAGUAGCUGGUUCCUGCCGAAGUUUCCCUCAGGAUAGCAGUAACGUUUUCAGUUUUAUGAGGUAAAGCGAAUGAUUAGAGGCCUGGGGGUUGAAACAACCUUCACCUAUUCUCAAACUUUAAAUAUGUAAGAAGUCCUUGUUGCUUAGUUGAACGUGGACAUUUGAAUGUAUCGUUACUAGUGGGCCAUUCUUGGUAAGCAGAACUGGCGAUGCGGGAUGAACCGAACGCGGAGUUAAGGUGCCGGAAUGCACGCUCAUCAGACACCACAAAAGGUGUUGGUUCAUCUAG
rnacentral:rRNA from 1 species